rfam:Sphingobacteriales bacterium 44-61 SCNpilot_expt_1000_bf_scaffold_10, whole genome shotgun sequence.
GCUGCCGGCCAGGUUAUCGCUCCGCUCCGCGGGGAGGAAAGUCUGGACAGCACAGGGCAAUGCACCGGUGAAGAGCCGGGUAUUCCGGAGCUCCCGGAUCAAGGUCCGGGACAGGCCAGGAUAACAGAAAGUGCCACAGAAAAUUACGGCCCCUUCCGGGGUUACGGUGAAAACGUGAGGUAAGAGCUCACGGUUAUGCCUGGUAACAGGUAUAACGGGUAAACCUUGCAUGCUGAAAUGCCACAUAAACCAUCGGUUGAAGGCGGCCCGCCUGAUCCCUGGUGAAAGUCAGGGAACGAUGGAGGGUAGGCAGAUUGAUCCGCCGGGCAACCGGCAGGACAGAUAAAUGAUAGCCGCCUGCUUCGGCAGGAACAGAAUCCGGCUUAUGGCCGGCAGCAUUU